UAAGCCUACGGGGCGCAGCAGUGAGGAAUAUUGGUCAAUGGGAGAGAUCCUGAACCAGCCAAGCCGCGUGAGGGAAGACGGCCCUAUGGGUUGUAAACCUCUUUUGUCGGAGAACAAAACCCGGGACGUGUCCCGGACUGCGUGUAUCCGAAGAAAAAGCAUCGGCUAACUCCGUGCCAGCAGCCGCGGUAAUACGUAUGGAGCAAGCGUUAUCCGGAUUUACUGGGUGUAAAGGGAGCGCAGACGGCAAGGCAAGUCUGAUGUGAAAGUCCGAGGCUCAACCUCGGGACUGCAUUGGCGACUGU
rnacentral:rRNA from 1 species